rnacentral:lncRNA from 10 species
CAGCCACAAAGGGCCAGACAUGUAAGCUGAGGCUGUUGGUAGAGCUCAGGGAAGAGCAACCCAAGGUGAAGACACAAGGUGUGUACAAUUCUGGGCAUACCUCAACAACGGAAAGACUAGUGAAGCUGGCCCAGGAAUGGGGAACCGAACUGGCAGAUACAAGAUCAGUGAUGUCUUCUGGCUUUCAAGUUUUAAAACCUGUAUGCCCUUGAUCCUACUCCUUCCUCCACUAUUCACCUCCUUGGAAAUCUGAGAGACAUUCAUGUCCCAGGAGUGACCAGCUUGAAGAGAGCUGAAACCCAGCCCCAUUGCACAGCUGGCUCCCAAGGAUCUAUCUUGGCUCUCGACUUCCUAAAUACAGAGUUUAUUUCACCUCCUGGCUCCCUUGUGGAUGUAGGGGCCAUGGGACUAGUUCUGGACGAGGCAUCGUAAAGGAAAAUGAUAUGUGUCAACUUAGGGCUGAGCAUUUAAUUGAUUGCCCAAGACCUCCAAGUCUUGCUGUGUUCUUUGGCAUACUACACAGUGAUGUUUGCAGUGGGAGCUACUCUGUUAGCCUGGGUGACUAAAUGAUAAUGAUAUGCAAAGCCUCCUUGUUGAUCUAUGAUGAGCACCCAGCUAACUUCUCUACCCUGGAGGAUCAGGUGAAAGAAAAACACCAGAUGGGAAGAAAAGUGGAGAGAAUGAUUGAGCCUGGAACCUCAGCAUGGCAUUAUCCACAUGGGCUGUUUUAUCAGUAUGCCUUUUUGUAACCCCAGAUAAGGGAAAACUGUAGCCAGAAAAAGAUGAAAACAGGGAAAUUCAACCAUUGCAGGCAUUUAUUCUUAUCUUUUGUUUUUAUAAAGAAUGACAAAUAAUCUGAGGGUAUAAAAAUCAUUGCUUU